GAUGAAGAACGCAGCGAAAUGCGAUAAGUAGUGUGAAUUGCAGAAUUCAGUGAAUCAUCGAAUCUUUGAACGCACAUUGCGCCCCUUGGUAUUCCAUGGGGCAUGCCUGUUCGAGCGUCAUUUGUACCUUCAAGCUUUGCUUGGUGUUGGGUGUUUGUCCCGAGGGACUCGCCUUAAAGUAAUUGGCAGCCAGUGUUUGGUUUUGAAGCGCAGCACAAGUCGCGAUUCAAGGCUACACGCCCGCUUCCACAAGCCUUUUUUCACUUUUGACCUCGGAUCAGGCAGGGAUACCCGCUGAACUUAAGCAUAUCAAUAAGCGGAGGA
rnacentral:misc_RNA from 1 species